rnacentral:rRNA from 1 species
GGCUUAAUUUGACUCAACGCGGGGAAUCUUACCGGGUCCGGACACACUGAGGAUUGACAGACAGUUGUCUUUCCCUCCCUUCGGGGUGGGAUUACAAAAGAUAACAGAUCUUUCAUGAUCAUGUGAUGGGUGGUGCAUGGCCGUUCUUAGUUCGUGGAGUGAUCUGUCUGCUUAAUUGCGUUUCAAAUUUUAUAUUUGUUAACAUGCGAGUCUUCAAUGACGGCCACUCCACCUUAUAGACAUUAUAUGAUAUGCACAUUUGUGUAUUUGAUUAUAACUUGUCUGGAGUCUGGCUCGAUUUUUUUGACUCAAUUGAACGCAACGGACGUGAUUGCAAGUCCUUGUUGAACAAAUUAUAUAUAUACUACUUCAUCAUUAGUAUAUAUAGUUCGCUUCUCAUGUCGUAGCAGUCAAACGGGCGGGCGUCUUAAUUGGCGCGGUCACGAGGCUUAAUAUGCUGCGGCUGGGAAAACUUGGGCGACCGCUGUAAUACUUCUCUCUUAAACCAGAGGAAGAUUGCGGCAAUAACAGG